rnacentral:rRNA from 1 species
UACAGAGGUGGCAAGCGUUGUUCGGAAUUACUGGGCGUAAAGAGCGCGUAGGCGGCCUUCUAAGUCAGACGUGAAAUCCCCCGGCUUAACCUGGGAACUGCGUCUGAUACUGGGGGGCUUGAGUAUGGGAGAGGGAUGUAGAAUUCCAGGUGUAGCGGUGAAAUGCGCAGAUAUCAGGAGGAACACCAGUGGCGAAGGCGGUGCUCUGGGCCGGAACUGACGCUGAGGAGCGGAAGCGUGGGGAGCAAACAGG